rnacentral:rRNA from 2 species
UAGGGAAUCUUCGGCAAUGGACGAAAGUCUGACCGAGCAACGCCGCGUGAGUGAAGAAGGUUUUCGGAUCGUAAAACUCUGUUGUUAGAGAAGAACAAGGACGUUAGUAACUGAACGUCCCCUGACGGUAUCUAACCAGAAAGCCACGGCUAACUACGUGCCAGCAGCCGCGGUAAUACGUAGGUGGCAAGCGUUGUCCGGAUUUAUUGUGCGUAAAGCGAGCGCAGGCGGUUUCUUAAGUCUGAUGUGAAAGCCCCCGGCUCAACCGGGGAGGGUCAUUGGAAACUGGGAGACUUGAGUGCAGAAGAGGAGAGUGGAAUUCCAUGUGUAGCGGUGAAAUGCGUAGAUAUAUGGAGGAACACCAGUGGCGAAGGCGGCUCUCUGGUCUGUAACUGACGCUGAGGCUCGAAAGCGUGGGGAGCAAACAGG